AUCGAACGCUGGCGGCAGGCCUAACACAUGCAAGUCAACUGUGGCUGACGGUUGAGUAACGCGUAAAGAACUUGCCUCACAGAUAGCGACAACAUUUGGAAACGAAUGCUAAUACCUGAUACUGUGAGAGAGCUUUGCGUCCCAUGAGCUAGUUGUAGAGGUAACGGCUCACCAAGGCGAUGAUGGGUAGCCGGCCUGAGAGGGUGAUCGGGCACAAGGGGACUGGGAAACGGCCCUUACUCAUUCUGGCGGAAGUAGUGGGGAACAGUGGACAAUGGACCAAAGUAUGAUCAAGCAAUUCGGGGUGCAAGAUGAAGCUUUAGGAAGGAAAAGUGUGUGGAGUUGGAAAGCGGUACCAGCAGAAGAAGUGACGGCUAAAUACGUGCCAGCAGCCGCGGUAAUUC
rnacentral:rRNA from 1 species